GAUGAACGCUAGCUACAGGCUUAACACAUGCAAGUCGAGGGGAAACGACAUCGAAAGCUUGCUUUGAUGGGCGUCGACCGGCGCACGGGUGAGUAACGCGUAUCCAACCUGCCCAUCACUUGGGGAUAACCUUGCGAAAGUAAGACUAAUACCCAAUGACGUCUCUAGAAGACAUCUGAAAGAGAUUAAAGAUUUAUCGGUGAUGGAUGGGGAUGCGUCUGAUUAGCUUGUUGGCGGGGUAACGGCCCACCAAGGCGACGAUCAGUAGGGGUUCUGAGAGGAAGGUCCCCCACAUUGGAACUGAGACACGGUCCAAACUCCUACGGGAGGCAGCAGUGAGGAAUAUUGGUCAAUGGGCGGAAGCCUGAACCAGCCAAGUAGCGUGAGGGAUGACUGCCCUAUGGGUUGUAAACCUCUUUUAUAAGGGAAUAAAAUACGGGACGUGUCCUGUUUUGCAUGUACCUUAUGAAUAAGGACCGGCUAAUUCCGUG
rnacentral:rRNA from 1 species